AUUGAACGCUGGCGGCAGGCCUAACACAUGCAAGUCGAGCGGCAGCGGGUCCUUCGGGAUGCCGGCGAGCGGCGGACGGGUGAGUAAUGCCUAGGAAUCUGCCUGGUAGUGGGGGAUAACGUUCGGAAACGGACGCUAAUACCGCAUACGUCCUACGGGAGAAAGUGGGGGACCUCGGGCCCCCACGCCUCCAGCUGCGCCUAGGUCGGAUUAGCUAGUUGGGGGGGUAAAGGCUCACCAAGGCGACGAUCCGUAACUGGUCUGAGAGGAUGAUCAGUCACACUGGAACUGAGACACGGUCCAGACUCCUACGGGAGGCAGCAGUGGGGAAUAUUGGACAAUGGGCGAGAGCCUGAUCCGGCCAUGCCGCGUGUGUGAAGAAGGUCUUCGGAUUGUAAAGCACUUUAAGUUGGGAGGAAGGGCAGCUAGUUAAUACCUGGUUGUUUUGACGUUACCAACAGAAUAAGCACCGGCUAACUUCGUGCCAGCCGCCGCCGUAAUAC
rnacentral:rRNA from 1 species